GAUGAACGCUGGCGGCGUGCCUAAUACAUGCAAGUCGAGCGAACGGACGAGAAGCUUGCUUCUCUGAUGUUAGCGGCGGACGGGUGAGUAACACGUGGAUAACCUACCUAUAAGACUGGGAUAACUUCGGGAAACCGGAGCUAAUACCGGAUAAUAUUUUGAACCGCAUGGUUCAAAAGUGAAAGACGGUCUUGAUGUCACUUUUAGAUGGAUCCGCGCUGCAUUAGCUAGUUGGUAAGGUAACGGCUUACCAAGGCAACGAUGCAUAGCCGACCUGAGAGGGUGAUCUGCCACACUGGAACUGAGACACGGUCCAGAGUCCGACGGGAGGCAGCAGAAGGGAAUCUUCCGCAAUGGGCGAAAGCCUGACGGAGCAACGCCGCGUGAGUGAUGAAGGUCUUCGGAUCGUAAAACUCUAUUAUUAGGGAAGAACGUAUGUGUAAGUAACUGUGCACAUCUUGACGGUACCUAAUCAGAAAGCCACGGCUAACUACGUG
rnacentral:rRNA from 1 species